rnacentral:lncRNA from 1 species
CAAAGAUGUUAUAAUUAUACAUAUAUGCAGAUGUAUUUACAUUUUUGAUAAUGAUUUUUUGAUGUAUCUUUGUUAUUUAUUAUUCAUAGAAAAUACACCUGACUCCAUCCAUUGACUUCUAUAAGAAAUUAGCCUUGGACUGUUCUGGUCAACAGGUAGCUGUUGACUUAUUCCUUCUCAGUGGACAGUAUUCUGAUUUGGCUUCUCCGGACUUCCUGUCUCUGCCCAAUGUCAACCCAGAUGCCAGGUAUACAGUACAGAUGUCAGCGGAAAAGAGUCUUCCUGACAUGCAGUUGGGUUCUUUUCAGUCAGCACUCUUGUAUACAUCAAGCAAAGGUGAAAGAAGAAUACUAUCCGUACUUUGUGUUUGCCAGUAGUUUCAACUCUGAAUGAAGUCUUUCUGGAAGCUGAUGUUCAAGCAAUUUCAGGGUUAUUGGCCAAUAUGGAAAUCAUUCCAGACUGGACAAACGUGUAUCUAGAAGAACACAUUUUGCUGUGUCAAGUGCAAACCCAGCCCUUGGUUCACCUUAUGCUCACAACUCAUCCCAGUUUGUACAGAAUUGACAAUCUCUCAGAUGAGGAAAGAUGGAUUCCUU